AAUAGGUUAUAGCGCUAUGUUCAUUAAUAUAUAGAUAUGUAAAGAAAGAAUCAAAGAAACAACACUGGAACAAUUUAGACAUCAGGAGUAGGGAGCAAAGGGGACUCAAACCAGAGCCAAACAAUUUAGACUCCAUUUCGCUCUAAAGUUUAAUGGAGCAAAUUAGGAAAGGCAAGAGGUUGAUACUCUUCCCAUUACCCCUUCAAGGCCGUAUAAACCCUAUGCUUGAGCUAGCUAAUGUUCUACACUUCAGAGGCUUCUCCAUAACCAUCCUCCACACCAACUUCAACUCUCUCAACCCUUCAAACCAUCCUCACUUUACCUUCCACUCGAUCCCUGAUGGCCUAUCCGAAACUGAGACCUCCACAAAAAGUCACAUGCUCCUUGUUUCUUGUCUAAACGCAAACUGUCAUGAUCCUUUCCGAAACUGCCUAGCUAACUUGUUAUCCGAUGAUGGUUCAGAGGAGCCUAUUGCUUGCUUAAUCACUGACCCUCUCUUUGACUUCACUCGAUCUGUCGCUAAGAGCCUUAAGCUUCCAAGGAUGCUGCUAAGAACAGGAAGUGCCACAUCGACUACUGUUUUUGCCGCAUUUCCACUUCUAUGGGAAAAGGGUUACCUCCCCAAACAAGAAUCUCAACUAGAAGAGCCAGUAGUAGAGUUGCCACCACUCAAAGUCAAGGACCUUCCAAUGAAUUCUGGUGACCCAAAGAUAUUUUAUCAACUAGUAACUGAACUGGCAAAUGAGGUCAAGACUUCAGAUGGAGUUAUUUUCAAUACUUCUGAAGAUCUUGAAGAACAAGAAUCCGACAAGACUUUCCCAUCCCAAUUUUCCCAAUAGGUCCAUUUCACAAAUGGUUCCCAACCUCCUAUUCAAGUAGCUUAUUAUCAGAGGAUGAAAGUUGCAUUUCGUGGCUAAAUACUCAAGCACCAAAGUCUGUUGUCUAUGUUAGCUUUGGGAGCACUGCUGCAGUAAAUGAAGCUCAAUUUUUGGAAAUAGCUUGGGGAUUAGCCAACACCAAUCAGCCUUUCUUGUGGGUGGUUCGACCUGGAUUACUCCAACGCUCUGAAUGGCUAGAAAAAUUACCUCAAGGGUACCUGGAGGCUUUAGAUGGGAAGGGUCACAUUGUGAAAUGGGCACCACAGAAAAAGGUGCUGGCUCAUCCAGCUGUGGGACUAUUCUGGACUCACAAUGGGUGGAAUUCAACAUUGGAGAGUAUUUCUGAGGGGGUGCCUAUGGUCUGUAUGCCAAUUUUUGCCGAUCAAAUGUUAAAUGCAAGAUAUGUCAGUGAUGUUUGGAGAGUAGGGUUGCAGUUAGAGAAUGGGAUCAAGAGAGACGAAAUUGAAAAAACAAUUCGAAAACUGAUGACAGAGAAAGAAGGGGAAGAGAUCAAAGACAAAAUGUCAAAGCUUAAGGAGAAGACAAAUCUUUCACUCAGAGAAGGUGGCUCUUCAUACCAAUCCUUGGAUGGCUUGGUUAACCAUAUUCUAUCAUUAUAGUCACUGGACGUUGAUCAAAAUGUAUCAUAUUUUCAUCACUAUCAAGUCACUGAUUGAUCAAAAUGUGUCUGUACUCUGUAGCAUAUCAUCUAUAGGCCAAACAGACAAAUCAGUACAUCAGACUGAGUUUAGAUCACGCAAGUAUUUAUAUGUAGUUCUAUCAAGUUUAGAUCUACGCAAGUAUUUAUAAGAAGACUCCGUUCCUUGUAUUCAGUAUUAUUGGUUUUGUACAAUUCCAGAACAGAACUAGAAGGCUCUUCUCUCAUAAUUAUACAGGCUUUCACUCUUAUGCACU